rnacentral:rRNA from 1 species
CCUGCUCAAUGAUAGAUUAAAUAGCCGCAGUAAACCUGUGCUAAGGUAGCAUAAUCACUUGCUUUAUAAUUAAAAGAUAGAAUGAAGGGUUAAACGAUGAAAAACUUUUUAGUAUUAUUAAAUUAAUUUAAUUUUAAUGUAAAAAAGCAUUAAUUAAAUAACAAGACGAUAAGACCCUAAUAAACUUAAAAUUUAGUUGGGGCAACAUAAUAACAAAAUCUUAUAAAACUGAUACCUAAAUCUUACAUAGAAAAUUUAAUCUAGUUACUAUAGGGAUAACAGCGCAAUUUCUUUCAAGAGUUCUUAUCUAAAAAGAAUAUUACGACCUCGAUGUUGAAUUAAUGAAUCUAUAAUACGCAAAAGUAUUAAUAAGACAGUCUGUUCGACUAAUAAAGAAUUACAU